AUUAGAAACGGCGAUGGAGUUUGCCUAUAACUGCUUACAAAAAUUGAGGCUGAUAACUCCUGCUAAAGG
rnacentral:ncRNA from 2 species